GUUCUUAUAGUUGAGUGUCAACGGUGGUUUUUCAGGCCACAGACCUUGGGUAGGCCCCAAGUGGGAACU
rnacentral:tRNA from 1 species